rnacentral:rRNA from 1 species
GACGUGAGGAUGCAAGCGUUGUUCGGAUUUAUUGGGCGUAAAGCGAGCGUAGGUGGCUAGUUAAGUCUGGUGUUAAAGCUAGGGGCUCAACCCCUGUGUUGCACUGGAAACUGGCUGGCUUGAGGAUGGUAGGGGAAGGUGGAAUUCCGAGUGUAGCGGUGAAAUGCGUAGAUAUUCGGAGGAACACCGGUGGCGAAAAGCGACCUUCUGGGCCAUUUCUGACACUGAGGCUCGAAAGCUUGGGGAGCAAACGGG